UUUAAUUGUAUUACUAAAAAUGUUCACACCCGAUCCCGUCGGAUCUCGGUAGCUAAGCAGGGUCGGGCCUGGUUAGUACUUGGAUGGGAGACCACCUAGGAAGACUGGGUGCUGUGUGUG
rnacentral:rRNA from 1 species